GGCUACUGGGUAAGUGAAUAUUGAGGUGCUAGUAGAACUCUGUACCAUUGGUACUUACCUUACUGCCUUGGAACUCCUAUAUUUUGCAUACAUGCCUGUCCCCCCCUGUGAAUUACAGAUUUUUUGAGGAAGGUAACAAUGUCUUGCUCAUUGUUAGUAUCGUUGUAUGGUACCUCGAACAUGGGACGUAUUCAACAAAUGUUUGCUAAGUGAAUGAAGUUUUGCAGCCGACACUUUAAAAAAUGAUAAGACAUAUUUUAUUCAGUACUACUUCAGCAGGGGAGAGACCUCAGCGUUACCAGAGCUUAACUGAACUGAACAAAAGACAGGAGCCCUUUUAAAUGCUGGGAUAUACUAAACAAAAGGUACCAAAAGACAUUAAGGGUGAUUUGUGUGUGUAGUUAGGCAAUGUGGGUUUGUUAAUUGGUGUUUAUCUGGAGAAGCAAUUGGUUCUUGUGUCUUUAGGACAGGAAAUAUAGCUUUGCAAUUUGGGACAAGAUGCCCACCAGCUAGGCUCUUGCCCUCCUACAAGAACUGGGCAACAGGAGAGGUAUCUCUCUGGAUGUUUACGUUUCAAAGAGGUGGCUCCCAGGUCCUUCAGGAGCUGUUUCUGAGUAGUAGAGGAUUUACAUCUCAAAGGUACAAGGAAAAGAUUUACAGUUGCAAGCUUUCAAGAGUAAACGCUCUAGAAAAGGAAGGUCAGGGACCUAUUAUCAGGUGUUGGCUAGAAUGAACAGAAAGUUAUUUUGGCUUUAGAAAUAAUUUGAGAAAGCUCUGAGCUUUCUCAGCUAGGCAUGUUCAGGAGGUGGUGAUGUCAUCGUAGGGACAUGGCCUUGAGCUGAUAGAACCUGAGCUAGUGUUUGUUCAAAUGUCUUAGUAUGGAGGGUUGAUGAAAUGGGUUGUGCUGAAAGUUGCAGUUUGUAUAGGCCAAAGUGGAGGCCUAGUUGAAAAGAGGACUAGAGGAGCCUGACUAAAGGUUGGUCAAGGAGAGGGUCUUUGUCAAUAAUGCAGGGCAAGGAAAGGUAAUUUAUGCAUGGAAAUUCAGGAUGAAACCAGAAAUGGGGUGGAAAUCAAGCAUACCUAUAAGAAUUUAACAUCCAGCACUGGCCAAGAAAGAACUAGUGUUUAGUUAACCAGGUCUGCUAUAUCUGUUAUUUCUACUUAAUCAUUUCAAUACACCUGUGAGGUCAGUACUGUCUGUAUGUUACAAUCAAGAGACAGAAGCACAGAUAUUUUAAAUAACAUGUUCAGGGUCAUAUAGUUAGUGAUCAGUGGAGUUGGGAUUCCAACUCAGAUUUUUUUUACUUCAAAUGACUCUGAUCAUCAGUAUUUAUUUUAAUAUUGUUAUAUAGCAAUUUGCUUUCCUCAGAAGUGAUUUACAUUAAUAACAGUUAAGAUUGCUAAGCUGCUUACUAAGUGGCUGAUCCUAAGAAGAACAUUUAGCCAGGCUUAAUAAACAUUGAGGAGUGAGAACAUAAGAGUGUUAGUAGAGCUUUGCUUUCUUAGGGUGGAAAUGCCCUCAGUUGUCACUUGAAUUCCUGCUAACACCCCAAUACAUGUGGAAAGGUUACGCUUAAUUAUAUAUGAUAUAUAUAAUGAUCUAUAUAUAUAAUGAUCAACCUAUAAUGUUGGAGCUGGAAGGUCUUUAGCCAUCAAGCCCAGAAUCUUAAUUUCUCAGAUAAAAAAGCCAUGACCCAGAAAGUUUAAGUGAUUUACCCAAGUGAUUUACUCAAGAUCUCAGUCUGUGCAUUAGAGAGAGCUGGGCUUGAUUUAGCCAAAAAUUAUUGUGGCCCACUUUGGGGAUUUACCCUCAGAUGUUGUCAUCACAAAAUGUAUCAAACGUGAAACUGCCACUUCGUUGCCAGUGCAUUCUUUUAGCAAAUAACCUUAAACGUUGGAAUUGCCCUUAUGGGGAGAUGAUGGUACCUCAGCAGUGCCCCUCAGAGCCCAAUCAGGUGAUUUUGCAGAGCUUUCUGUUUUAAACACUUCUGUCUAAAGUGUUUAGUAUGAUGCUAUAGGUCAGGCAAAAAUAUAGUAACAGCAACAUGACAACAACAACAAAACAACCAACGUGGAUAAACAAACGAACCUUAAAAAUUUUUUGUCACUACAAUGUUUUAACAAUUUCAAAGAUUGACAUAGACCUCUUCCCUUACUUAUGUUAAUACCUAUUAGUUUAUGCUGUUUUUAGUGUUAAACGGUAAAAUGUUUAUUCCCUUGUUAUAGUCCAUUACUGCUGUGCCUUAAUUUCAUCUUGACAGUUUUCCUCUGCCUUUUUGGCAUCCCAUUCAUUCUGAUUACACCAGUGAAUCUGUUACCAGAAAGGGGUCCCAACCAGACCUCAAGAGAGGGUUCUUGGAUCUUGUGCAAGAAAGAAUUCGAGGGCAAGAUUAGAAGCAUGAAGAUAAAUUAGAAGGUUCUGCAAUGAACAGGGUCAAAGCCUGGAUUAGGAUGUUCAUGAUGAAGAUGGAAUGAUAUUGGAAGAUUGGAAACAUACUUCGGUUGAAUUGACUGACUUGCCAGUGGAUUGGACAUGAGGAGUAAGACUGCCCGCAAGGGAUGGUCAUGCUCCUGGCUGCACUUCCAGAGUCUUGAAGAAGAAAGCAGAUGUGGAUACCUAAAUAUAGGGUGCGGAGUACCUGUUUUUUUCUCUCUUAUUCCUGAACAUUUAUUCGUUUAAAACUGCUGGCAAACAGCACAGCAUAAAUCACAACUCCAUAUAUAAAAAUAGUGGCCUCUCUUCCAAAAUUAAUAACUUAGAUUGCUAGGUUAUUAACUUGGCUGUAUCCUAAUAAAUAGAUUAUGACUCUCCAUCAAAUUAAAUUGCUUGUUCUUGGAGAGGGGGGAGGUAAGAGUUUUAAUUGUCAAGGGAGGCUUUCUGGAAUUGCUCCUUAUGCUGCCAAACCACCAUUAGGGGUUAUGAGUAUUGUGGGUUAAAUUCUUCUAGAGUCAGCUAACGGUCCUUCCAGAACGAGAGCUUGGCAUUUGUUGAGCCUAUUCUUUUUAGGUUUUUGAGUUUUGGAGACUUUUAUUAUAGUGAGAAGGAUUGUUUUUAAUGAAAGGUGUACUAAAACCCUUAAUUCUGAGACCAUAAUCUCUACAAAGUUCAACUAUUAUUAAUGUUCCCUAAGGCAUAACUGUGAAAAUUGGGACUGAGACCAGCAUAUUAUUGUUAGUAAUUAUUAACAGUAAUGCGGGUCUUUCAAGCUCUAACUAGAAUCCAGCUUCUGAAUCUCUAGGUGGAAAAACUGGACUUUCUUGGAGGUAGAUGCCACAUGUGUGGUUUAAGCUUAAUUUGAGACUCAAGCUCCAUAAAUGAUGAGGUUAGGAACAUCAGGUUUUGUGAAUGAGCAAUUGGGUGUCAGAGAGAUGGCAAGCGUGUGUACUUUAUCAAUAGCUGAGCGUAAAAACCAAUGUUCUGCCUUGAUAGUCACAAAAAUGAUGCUACAAGUGCCAGAAUCUCUCAUAUGUUUUUGAAGAUAGAGUUAUUAGUCAAAGAAUUUAAGACGUCAUAAAAACUGAUGAUCAAGAAGUCAAAGUGUUUGAAGAGUGAUUCUCCAUUUUGCACAAAAAUAAAUUGAACAUAGAAGCAGGUAUUUAGCAUCAUUUAUAAAAACAGAAACCAUAGUUAAUGAAAAUGGCAAUACCUUAACUUGUAUCAGUUUUCUUGUUACAGAGCCAUUUAAAAUAUAUUUUCUCAUCAUCUAGAGAGCAAUGUUUACAACAUUUAUUUUCCAGGAUGGGAGGAGUAUUUUUGGAAAUGAGAGUUGAAAUUUGAAAGUUGUCUUUUCAUAAGGGGAAAAAUAUAUCUCCUGUUGAUGCCAAAUUAAAAUGGUUGAUGGAUUCUAUAAGAAUAAUUCAGGCUACAUGAAACUGUAUAUGAAAUAUUUUGAAGAAACUCAACUCACCCUAAGACCUAUACAAUUAAUUCAUAUGGACAGUGGAGUAAUACACAGCAUAGAGCCCUGGAUAGACAAAUAAUAGGAUCACAGUGACAGCUCUGUUUUGUUUUUUGUUUUUUUGUUUUGAGCUCUACUUAUGUUGACUUUUUUUGUCCUGACUUCUCAUGUAAUCUUAGGAAAGGUACUUAACGUCAAUGGAUGUUCAUAUACCUAUUAAGUGGGAAUUAUAAUUUCCACUUACUGUAGUAGAGCUUAUGCAGUGUUUCUAAAAUUUUUGAGCUUUUUAAAAAGACUUGAAUUAGUAGAAGUUAUUAUAAUACAAAUUAUUGAAGUUUAUGCAUGGAAGAAUACAUAGAAACUGUAUUUUGACUGACAAAACUUGCAAGAUGUAUGGAUUGGACAGCUUCAAAGGUUAUAAAAGAGUCUUCUAGGUAGGCAUGACACUCAUUGAUAAAUGAGGGAAAUAAUUUCUUUGGGCAGAGAUUGGCUUUGGAUUAGUUUGGAAAUAAAUAGUUUAGCAUGCUAUUUUGCUUAUCUAUUGUUACAAAAGCACCUCAAAACUAGUGGCUGGAAACAACCACCAUUUUAUUGGUUCAUGAGUCUGUGGCUCAGCAUUUUCUACUGGGCUCAGUGGGGCACAUUCUUCAGCUGUUAUUUCAUGGUGACACUCAUUCAAAUGGGUGUUGUCCCUGGUGGUUAGUUGAGGCUGGAUGGUCUCUAAUGGUGUUACAUGACUGGAUUUGGUGCUGGCUUUUGUCUGGGCCUUUCUCUCUGGUUUCUCAUCUUUGGAGAGGCUAGCCUGGGCUUCUUCGAUGGUGGUCUCAGAAUUCCAGGAGAGCAAAGCAGAAGCUUCAAGACACCCUGAGGUCACAAAUUUGCUUCAAACUCUUAAUGUUGGUCAAAGCAAGUCACAAGGCCAAGAUUUAAGGGGUGGGGAAAAACAGAUUACCUGUUGAUCUGAUGAAAAGAAGGUCGCAUUGUAGAAAGUGUUUGUACAGGUCUGUGGAGAAUUAUUGCAGCCAUAUUUGCAGACCAGUUGCCACACAUGAUAGGGGCUAGGGCAAAGAGUAUUUAGGGGAGAUGGUCUACUAAUAAAUUUUAAAAAUUGAAAUAGAAGGGUAGUAUCAUGAAAAAGUGGGGAAGAAGACCCAAAAACGGUUCAAGAUCCAAACAGCAAAGACUCAAGACAAUUUCAGUUAAAAAAACACAAAUGUUUUUAAAAUGUAAAAAAAAAGAAUUAUUAUCUAACUAGUAUAUAGCAAUAUAGCUCUUUGAAUUAAAAGGUAGAACUUGAAAGGCAUUACUUAAAGAUAGCCAAAGGCAAAGGAAAAUGAUUCUCAUGCCGUUGAGUGUCCAGUUUAUGGAUUCUUAGAAUGAGACAGUUUACUAUAGAGGAAGUAAAACAAAAUAAUGUGCAAAAAGGAGAAUUCUAAAAAGUGAAUUUCAAAAACAGUUAACUUAGGGAUGAGUAUCAGUUUGGUAUAUAUCUUUAUGUAAUAGUCACUGAACAUGAUUAGUAUUGCCAGUGUUCUCCCCAAAUUAAACUUUUAUCACAAAUUUCCAUUUUUCCAUCUAGGUAACUAUUUGGGAAAAACUCCAGGAAUUAUAGUUGGCAAGGAUUCUUGAAAGAUAAUAAGCUAAAGUGGCUUGCUAUCUUGCUUUCUCAAUUCUACUCUGUCUGCCUUUCCUGAUCCCAACUACUUCUGGAGCCAGCAGACCCCUGAGUGCAAGUGAAACCCCAAGCUUUGUGAAAGCUGAGGGUAGGGGAGUGGGGAGCAGAUGGGGGAUUCCCUUCUAGGCUUGGCUGGUACCGAGGGCUGGCAUCCGUUGGAUGAGUCCCACCAGAAGAUCAGGAUGCAUUGGAUACUGUGAUGAGCUUGACCUACAGAGGAUGGGGAAUCCUGGGAGGAAAACUGAAACUUGCCCUCACCCCAUGGUGUGUGUGUUCCACAAGAGACCAAGGAGAAAAAUCAGUAGUUGGGGGCAUCCUUUGGAGCAGGAGGCCUUGGAAGGGUCCUGGCAGCCCACCUGUCACACUGCUAGAUCGCAGGAGAAGAGAUCAUUGUGUUUCCCCUACUCAUAGAACUUCAGUUCCACGAGUCCUUCAACAAUCAGACCUGAACCCCAGUGAUAUAACAAAGAAAAAUAUUGGCACUGCAGCCAAAGGGAAGACAGUCUAUGAGAAAAGACAACUCACGCUGAAUGAGAUGGAGCGGCAGCCAGAGACAGAUGACAACCUGACAAAAAAUAGAAAGAGCACAUAAGGAGAUGCAGAUGCAGCACAAGAAGACUUUCUAGAGAUGAAAUGCAUGAUUUCCCCAUCAAACAUUUUAGUAAAUGAACUGAAGGUGAUAAUGAUCAUUCCUGGGGCUUGAAUUGGCAGCCUAGUUGGUCAAGUAGAAGAAUAUGAAAGUACAGAACGAAAAUAUAAAGGAAUGGAAACCACAAAAGAAAAUAGAUCCAGGAAAUAUAACAUGUGAGUAACAGGAGAGAGCCAGAAAGAGAAAAAGGAACAGAUGGAGGAAAGGCAAUAAUUAAAUAAAUAUAAGGAACAAAUUUUUUGAGCUUAAAAAUCUGCACUUGAGUCUGUAAAUUCAAGUGGCCUAUUAAGUUCCAGGUAAAAUUUAUGAAAAAAGACACUCUGGAUUUAUUGGAAAAGUUCUUGAACUAUAUAUUAAGAAUAAGAGGCAAAAUCUUAGAAGCUUCUAGACAGAGCAGAUUACUUACCAUGAAGAAGUAUCAGACUAGCAGCAGAUUUCUCAUCUGUGACACAGAAAACUAGAGAUAGCAAUUUCUGCAGGCCAUGGAGAUGUUACCAAAAUACCAAGGGUUUGGUCUAGGCCCUACUUGCUCACCGCACAGAAAGCCAAUCACGAGACAAUGAGUAUUGCCAAGGAAGAAGGCUUUAAUUGGGUGCUGUGGCUGAGGAGAUGGGAGAUCCUUCUCAAAUCCAUCUCUCUGAAGACUAAAACCAGGGGUUUAUAUAGCAGGGAAGAAAUGUAACAAUGUGUAAGAAAACAGGAACUAGAGAGGGGCAAGGAAGCAAUCAUGAUCAAUGAGGGGCCCCUCAUCUGGUGUGGUGAUCUGGUGAGUUUCAAUUCUUUGGUACUUUUUUUGAGAGGCAUGAAAGUCCUCUCCUGAGGAAGGAGCUCAGAUAAAACAAAAAAGUUUUAAGCUUUAAGAUAAGAAAGGGCAAUCUAUGUUUAUAAAAAAGAUUAGUCUAUAGGACUAUUGGGUUGGUUUCAGAGAGAAAAAGACAGCAGCCCGAAAAUCCCAUACAUUUCCCUGUCAGGAGGAAAUUUGUUACUAUGUAAGCAUUCAGAAAUAUCAUGUGUUUUCUGACAAAAAUAAUAAUACAAAACAAAAAGUAACUGAACCAAAAGUUAACCAGAAACACAUACCUUGAGGUGAAGGAAGAUGACAGGAGGGAAAUACUUAGAAUUGAAUCAAAUAAAUCAAGUGAGAAGGAAAGAAUGAGUUAAUACAUGACAGCCUUUACAUUAAAUGUGAAUGAACUUGGAAAAUUCACAAAUUUUUAUAAUUCAUUAAAUGUUUUAAUGGGAAAAUUGUCAGACUGAGUUAAAAACCAAAACCCAGGUCAGGCAUGGUGGCUCAUAACUGUAAUCCCAGCACUUUGGGAGGCCAAGG